GCAAGUGCCCUACCAAGGGUCUACACACUCAACUAUGAGUAAUUCAUUACUAAUUGUAUCCUAUUCAUUAUAGAAUUGCAAUGUUUUUUGCAGUUACCAGAUUUUUUUUCUCUUAGCGUCUAUCAUUUUGGUUGUCAGCCUUGUAAAUGGCCCUAUGAAGGUCAUUUGUCUGCUUUUCUCUGGCUUGAGAUUUUUUUCUUUUUAUUUUUCAGCAGUAAGCCAUAGACGACAUUUAUGGGGGUGAUUUUUUUUCUACAUUUCACUCCCCUCCACUAUCCUGUAAUCUAAAUUUUGAGAUACAUGGCUUCCCAUGACUAAUACAUUUUAUGUUAACAGUGUGUGUAGAUGAGAGAGGAAAAAUGAAGAAAAUCUGUUGUUUAGACAAAUAUAUUCAUAUAAAGGAAUAACCACUCCUGUCAUCACUUGUAUACCUGGUCUGCACUAUGACUGGUGUUCAUAACCUCCCUCUUCCCCAGCCAGUCACCCUGCCUCUGCACUCCGUGAGCACCUACCUGCAGGUGACUCCCUACCUGCAGGUGUGAUCUGCCUCUUGCUUUCAGUUAUUUGCUAUGUAAUGAGUUCUCCCUCUCCCUCCCCCCAAAAAAAGAAGUGUUUAGUGACUUAAGACAUAAUUAUUUCUCACAGUUCUGUGGCUCAGGGAUUCAGACAGGCUCAGGGAUUCAACUGUUCUGUUACCCAUGGCUUCAUCUGGAGUCAUUCAGCUGCAUUCAGCCCAGGUGGACCCAAAAGUCAGAGGCCUCCCUCACUAAUGUGGAUCCUUGGUGUUCCUUGAUGUGAUCUCUUUCUGUUUGGGGGAUAAGCAGCAUAGCCUGGAAGUCUCUGGUCAACUGGACUUAAAGGGUAGCUGCUUUCCAAGAAAGCAAACAGGAUCUGCCAGUCCUCUCAGGGCGCAUGUCCUGAGCCCUGUUCUCUUCUACAAUCAGAGCCAGUGAUGAGACCAGCCCAGAUUAAAUGGUAGGGAAAUUCUCUCUUGGUAAGAAAGCAUUCUGUAAGGUAAAUUCCUGGAGUUGGAAUUACUGCAUAGAAGGUAUUCUCCAUUUUAAAAAUGUAACACAUAUCCAAUGGCUGGCUAUUCCAUUCUCACUAGUUUGCAUUCUCAUUAGUAAUGAAUAAAAAUCUACUUCUCUGUGCCCUCAUCAAUCCCAAACACUAGUAUCCCUUUUAAUCUUUUCUAAUUUAAUGAAGGAUCCUGACUAUUGCAUUUACUUUAUUUUUAAUACCACUGAAGUGGAACAUUUUUCAUGUGUUUAUUGGCCACGAGAGGGUGUUCAUUUUUGAACUGCCUAAUCAUGAGUUUUGCCUAUUCUUUCUCCUGGACAACUGCUUGUCUGAGUAUUGGUGUUCUUGUGAAAACUGCGUUAUUAAAGUUUAACUGACCUCAGACAACCCUGCUAAGAUAUUAUGAAUUACCCUUGCCCAGAAUGAUUUAUUUUUAUUUCCGUUACUCUGUUCUUUAUUUCCCUAAAUUGUAUCACCCUUUUCAGUCCUUUUCUCAGAUUCAUGUUAGAACUGCAAAUUACCUCAUUUUUCAGUUUGAGGCUACUGAUAACUUAAAGAACUUGCCACAGAUGCUAAUUGGGCUGGGGUACACUCAGCUUGGACCCACAAAUCUAACUCUGUCUUCUGGUCCAAAUUAUACCAACAGCACAUUUGGCUCAUGCCCUACAAGGCCCAUGUCCUCCUUGAGUCUGACACUAAGAAAUUCAGUCUAUCCACAUGAGUUCCCUGAUGAGUAACAUGGGUCCCAAAUUUAAUGUGUCCCUAGCCAACUAUGUGACAUUUGGUAAAUUGCUCUAACUUUGGGGCUGUGGCUUCCCCCAUCUACUAAGUGGGAACACCAAACUACUAUAUCUGGGUGCCUUUAAGACUAAGUGGGACAUUUAUACAGUAUGGAUUAGGGGCAAAAACAGCAUAGGUAAAAGAAUUCUAAGUAACUUACUUUAGUCUAAAAUGUCUAUUUUUGAAGACACCUAAUCAAAACCUUUAAACAUACUUUUCAAUCACAGGUUUGAAACCUUGUGUUAUUCAUAAUACCUUUUUAGAAGCAUGAAAAUAGCAUUUCUCUACUACCUUUGUGCUUUUUCAUUUGGUAAACACCGAUUUUAUUUUUCAUUUUGCCUACAGGAGUCAACCAAACCAAUUCAGCACUUCCUGUUUACUUUCUUACCAGACGUCUCACAGGAAGUGACAGGUUCUCUCAGCUUAAAUAAGCUUCAUUGGUUUAAUUCUUCACUUUCUAGUUAGGCAGUCAGCCUGUGUUAGUACGAACAAUGAACUGAAUUGGCUGCAGAAGCCUUGUCUAUUACAUUCCCCUUCAACAGAUGGAUAGAAAGUCCUUUAAUGCAACCAAGGGUGGGGAUAGUGUCACGGUUUGUACAGUGUGUGUCAACUUGAGAAGUCUAGAACUUACCUAAGGGAUUCAGCAGCUGUACAUCCUGGGGUGUAGAGGACAAGCUGUUGCCAUUCUAGGAUAUUGUUCAUUGUGUCAACUUGAGAAGGUCAGACGUUUUAAGUGAUUGAGCAAGGGGCCAGGGUCAUCCUUACAAUGGCCAGGGCCAUUGUAACAUCCUCAACCUGUGCAAGGAGGACACAGCAGAUGGUGUGAGUGCUUCACCCACCCCAAGCGAGCAGCCUGCGUUCAACAAAAGGCAAAAGAGGAGGGACUGACGGCAGAGGAGCUCCAGUCUUUGCCUUCAGCUUGGAUGUCAUCUCCUGGCACAAACUGUUCGGCUUCCGCCGGGGAUUCUUCAGCCUUCCCUUGUCGAUUCCUCAGUGUUUCGUCAGGGACCCGUGGGUCUCCUGAUCCAGACUUGCAUGGAACACUGCAGUAAGCUCCAGCCCUUGGGCUGGACCCUUCAGUCUCCAUCAUGCAGACACUUUCUGCAUGCUCCCUCAUCCAACUUUGUGGCUGACCAUUGUAAGCCAAUCUUGUAAUUUCUUAUAUUAUUUGUAUACCUGGUGUUGUAUUUAUAUCACUAGUAAGCCUGACUGAUACAGAUGGUUUGCAAAUGGGGACAUCACCCAGAACCUUCAAAUCAAGAUAUUAAAGCGUUUUCAACUCCACCUUGGUAUGUGUGACAAGCACACAAAGAACACACAAUCUGGUUUCCUUUGGAGAUUGUCAAUACUCUAAGAAGACUGAGUUUCAUUUGUAUUGAGUUACUGAAGUGUAAGCUUAGAAAUAUUUUAUGUUUCCAUCAUAGUUUAUUCUGCUUAGCAUAAAUCAUCAAAGCCAACCAUAACUUAGCAUUUACUAGAGCUUUUUAAAAGUCAGUUGUAUUAUGCCCAUGUCAAACACACCUUCAUACAAGUCCCUCAAGGUCAAUAGUUUAGAAAUUCAACUUCUUCCUUCCUUUUCCCCACUCAACACUUAUGGAAAUAUAUGCUAAUUGAAACAGAAGCAGCCUACCCAGCUAACAGGGUUAGAUUAUGCUUAACACAAGAUUAAUGAGAAACAAGUUUAAAGAAAAAGUAACAUUUUUCAAGCAAUAAGAGAUUCAAUUCCAAGUAAAAGCCAACAAAUCUGGGUCUGUCAAAUACCAAGUUCUGCUUUCCCUUGACUUGACUCAGAAGAAUCAGAGAAAGAGGAAAUCCUGUAUGUCCCAUCUUAUUCCAGCCAUUCUUUCCCCACUUUGGCACAAUGUAGCUGCCUUCUCUCAUUUGCUAGGCCCUAAAGGCAGAUUCUCCACAGCAGAAAACAACACUGCAGAUGCAAAGCUUGGAAGGAGAUUCUACACUGUUUACUUCUCAGAUGACCUGCAAGAAGGAAUCACAAAGCCCAAGCAUACCACAGGCUGCCACUAAGAGUUGUCCCAUGCAGAUGUGAUUAUCUCCAUGAAAAAGGAGAAUCAGAGACAAUGGAUGCUGAAAGUCACAGGUACUAGCAAAACACCUUUGAAACAGUCUACUGUUGAUGUCUGAUGGGAUCAUAAAUCAGCAACUAACACACUUUUGAAAUAGAUUUAGAGAACAGUAUUUGCUUAGAAGGACAAAGCCUAAGGAUCUUGAUUAAUUUGCUAAGAGUGUACUCACACACAGCAUGACACAUCUAAACUACUGGCAGGGAGCAGAUUCCCUCCUAAGUUUCCACUUCUUUCAGGAUCUAAAGUUCUCUCCUCUAGCACAUGUUCAGUUCUAGAUAAGUACCCUAAAUUCCUUCAAAAUUGACAAAGCAUGCUGGAAAUACAUUUCACACAUUUAAAAAGUGAUGUCGUUCAUACCUAAGAUCUUAAGUUUUAAUUUCUGAUGUCAUUUUCCCCUGGUAUUCAGGGCUCUUUGGAGAAAGGGAAUUUUCCAAGACUAAGGCAGUGUGAAAUUCCUGGGGGAAAAAUGAUCCCAGAACAUCUAUGAUACAAAAAAAUAAGAUGUGAUUCAAAGAAUCAGGGGGACAUGUCCAAACCACAGGUUUGGAGAGGCUCAGACUGAACAUGGAAUGAUGCAAGCAUCCAAAUAAAUACAGGCAGUAAUGGGUUACCAUCGAAGAAUAAAUUCCCAUGAGUCACACCUUAUAAAUUAAGCAUAUAAUGGAAGAAAGAGUUCUUUGCCUCACAUCAAAUAGUACAUACAGAAGGAAUCAUGUCACUAAGAGACCAUCAGUGGGUGAAAAGCCAGACAACCAGCAGAUAUUUACCGAGCUCAAAUCUCGCCACCAACUUCAAAUUACCAAUUACAAAGGAAAAUAGUAACAAAGGGAAAAAAACUAGUGGUCUUUAAAUUAUUACCAUAGAUAUUGUAAAUGCAAAUACAAUAGUCCUCCCUUACAGUGGAAGAUUUAUUUCAGGACCCUUGUGGAUGUCUGAAACUACAGGUACUACUGAUUUCUGUAUAUACUGUUUUUGUCUGUACAUACUUGUCUGUCAUAAACUACUUUCUAGAUUGGGCACAGUAAGACACUAACAACAAUAAUAAAAUAGAUCCAUAACAAUCUACUAUAUUAAAAUUGCCAGAAUCAUGACUACUUACACUGUGGAGCCAUUAUUAAAUAAAGUAAGGGCUAUAUGAUGUGGGAAGCCGCCUAUGAUGGCGCCCAUUUCCUGCUUCCGGGUUCUUCCCGGCCUGAACAAGCCCGCCAAAUUGUCAUAUCUGCCCAGUUACCCGUGACACUAGCCUAUCAGCUUGUUAGGCGCGCUUCUCUGUGAUUGGAUACUGCUUCCCCUUAUAAGAGGUUGUUCCUGCCCCCAACGGCGGAAGAGGAAUCAACACCGAGGGUGGCGGACCUCGUUAGGUCCGGUUCGCUGUACGUAAUAAAGUUUGAGAGCUGAUCCUGCUCGAGUUUGGUCUCCUGUCUCCCGCGGCUCCGGUCAUCUGGUGGCCCCCGUACGGGGAAUAAAAGACUCAGCGACGUGCCUCUUCGGCCGGGAGGUGCGAUUGCUGUCGCCUGCGGUACGACGGAGGACCUGGCCCAAUAACAACGGAAGGCCGCGAGCACCUCUUCUCUUCACCCUGAUCAGCUACGUGAGAUACAGCGGUUCCCGGGACAGGAACCAGGCUGCGAACCGCUGUGGGUCCCGGAAAGAUUGACGCGAGCAGUAAACUCCCCACCAGUUCCUGAUAAAGCACAGGAGGAUAAGCCCGUGGACACAAGUCAACUCGACCCUUCUGGGACCGACGCUCAGCGCCCGAGACCAUCUACAAACUAAAAUGUCUGGUUUGGAGUUUUUUCUAUUCUGUGGGUUCCUAUUAAUCACCCCUGUGAUAUGCUCAGAUUCCACAGAACCACCACAAUAUCUUUGGGGUCCUUGGCACCACCCGCCUACAUUGGCACCUUUUUCGGUGGCCUCGCCCGCCUCACCCAGGGUUUACACCAUCAAUCAAACAGUCCUUGAUUAUGACCCACCCGCUUAACUCCGGUCGACCCUCCAUUUCUCUUCCUUCUGUCCCACGAUUACCUCUUUUUGGAUCCUAAUUGCCAUGGCUAUCCUAGUAGGGCUUGUGGUUAUUAAAUGCUUGUUAGAUCGCCUCAUACAAACUCAGCAGCAGGUUAAGAUCACAGCUAUGGCAGCCAUGCAAAUGGCAGCAGGUGGCCCAUCAGGCCAGCAGGCUGCCGCAUAUCUCCUUCACAUUGCAGAACAUCAGCUAUAAGAGCUGAGUGGGCAAGCCAAUGACGGGUAAGACGGGAAAAGCCCUCCCGGUCAACCUAAGACAGGCUCCACUCAGAUAUACAUGGCCUAUAAGGCCAGGGGUCCCUCCCGGAGUCAAAUUAUUGGCAUUGAGAUGCGAGACCAAGGGUACUGCAGUGCCAUCCGCCCCAAAGGUUGGGGGGAAGGCAGGAAUGAAUGUCUAUAUGCAUCCAGGUUCAGUUCACAAAAGCCUGGCCCUGCGAAAAAAUGAACCACUCACCUUGAGCAUGGUCCUGGCGCAAGGAUAUGCACAAAACAGGGUGAUGCACAGCAGGGUAUAGACCUCUACAUUCUCUCAUGCCUCGGCCUACAAGGUAGGCCCACUCCUAGGUGUCUAACAGCAACAAGGUCAUAGACACCUUGGAGGGACCCACAGACCAUCCUAUUUUAAUAAAUAAAAAAGGGGGAGAUGUGGGAAGCCGCCUAUGAUGGCGCCCAUUUCCUGCUUCCGGGUUCUUCCCGGCCUGAACAAGCCCGCCAAAUUGUCAUAUCUGCCCAGUUACCCGUGACACUAGCCUAUCAGCUUGUUAGGCGCGCUUCUCUGUGAUUGGAUACUGCUUCCCCUUAUAAGAGGUUGUUCCUGCCCCCAACGGCGGAAGAGGAAUCAACACCGAGGGUGGCGGACCUUAUUAGGUCCGGUUCGCUGUACGUAAUAAAGUUUGAGAGCUGA